rnacentral:rRNA from 1 species
CCUACGGGGGGCAGCAGUGGGGAAUAUUGGACAAUGGGGGGAACCCUGAUCCAGCCAUGCCGCGUGUGUGAAGAAGGCCCUCGGGUUGUAAGGCACUUUCAGUGAGGAAGAACGCCUGGUGGUUAAUACCCAUCAGGAAAGACAUCACUCACAGAAGAAGCACCGGCUAACUCCGUGCCAGCAGCCGCGGUAAUACGGAGGGUGCGAGCGUUAAUCGGAAUUACUGGGCGUAAAGCGCGCGUAGGUGGCUUGAUAAGCCGGUUGUGAAAGCCCCGGGCUCAACCUGGGAACGGCAUCCGGAACUGUCAAGCUAGAGUGCAGGAGAGGAAGGUAGAAUUCCCGGUGUAGCGGUGAAAUGCGUAGAGAUCGGGAGGAAUACCAGUGGCGAAGGCGGCCUUCUGGACUGACACUGACACUGAGGUGCGAAAGCGUGGGUAGCAAACAGGAUUAGAUACCCGAGUAGUC